rnacentral:precursor_RNA from 15 species
GCCGCGAGUUACAAAGUGAAGAUCAUUAUACGACAAACCUUGUUCGGUUUUGCCAAUUUCCUAGCAGCACUGGGUAAAGUUUGUCCUAUAAUCUAUAAAAAAGCCGUCCAGACAUCUG